AUUGAACGCUGGCGGAAUGCUUUACACAUGCAAGCCGAACGGUAGAGGGGGCAACCCCUUGAGAGUGGCGAACGGGUGAGUAAUAUAUCGGAACGUGCCCAGUCGUGGGGGAUAACGUAGUGAAAAUUACGCUAAUACCGCAUACGAUCUAAGGAUGAAAGCGGGGGAUCGCAAGACCUCGCGCGAUUGGAGCGGCCGAUAUCAGAUUAGGUAGUUGGUGGGGUAAAGGCCCACCAAGCCAACGAUCUGUAGCUGGUCUGAGAGGACGACCAGCCACACUGGAACUGAGACACGGUCCAGACUCCUACGGGAGGCAGCAGUGGGGAAUUUUGGACAAUGGGCGAAAGCCUGAUCCAGCCAUUCCGCGUGCAGGAUGAAGGCCCUCGGGUUGUAAACUGCUUUUGUACAGAACGAAAAGGUUUCUACUAAUACUAGGAGCUCAUGACGGUACUGUAAGAAUAAGCACCGGCUAACUACGUGCCAGCCGCCGCAGUAA
rnacentral:rRNA from 1 species